rnacentral:miRNA from 15 species
UAUGUAGAGGAACAGGCGAUGGUGACAGAAGAGAGUGAGCACCCAUGAUGCUUCUGUGCAUGGUGCAUGGGGGAGUCUAUGCGUGCUCACUGCUCUCUCUGUCAUCGGCUCCUUAAGCUUCAGCAUU